UACGGAGGAUGCAAGCGUUAUCCGGAUUUAUUGGGUUUAAAGGGUGCGCAGGUUGUUUGAUAAGUCAGUGGUGAAAGUCUGUCGCUUAACGGUAGGAUUGCCAUUGAUACUGUUAGACUUGAAUAUGGAUGAGGUAGGCGGAAUGUGUAGUGUAGCGGUGAAAUGCAUAGAUAUUACACAGAACACCGAUUGUGAAGGCAGCUUACUAAUCCAUCAUUGACGCUGAGGCACGAAAGCGUGGGGAUCAAA
rnacentral:rRNA from 1 species